AUGCCCCCCAAGCAGCAAGGAAAGACGAAAAAGCAAGAGCAGUCCUGGAAAGAGUGGGGCACCGUGUUUAUCGACCUCCUUACCUUCCUGGAGCUCACUGCCCAGCCUGCGACUGAAGCAUUCCAACUCUGCCUGCAUUUUGCUUUUAGCACCCCGACCUCUCUCAAAAGUUUAAUUUUCUUGUGUUCAGCUCUCUUAAGAGUCCCUGACAGAGAUAACACUGCUCUGAAAAAGUGGAGAAUGGACAUUUCACGCACGGUCCGGGGGCCCAACAGAGCAACCACAGUGAUCCUGAGUCUGGGGCUCUUUCGAACAUACCUCUCAUUUCCAGCUGAUGAAAUAUCUGCUUCCGUGGCUGUGGGAUCACUUGUCAACUCUACGAAGGCUGUCCUUUCCUCAGACUCAAAAAAUAAAUAAAUAAAAACUAGCAUUUGUCCAUUGAAAAUCUAUUAGUACAAUACCUUAGGCAAAAUAUUUUAUAUAUACUUUAUCCCUUUCAAUCCUCCAUAAUGCUAUCAGGUAGGCAUGAUUAUUCCAUUUUCAUGAAAAGGAAGCUGAGGCUCAGAGAGAUGAAGUGAUUUUUCCCAAAGUCACAAAGAUAUAAGUGAUAGACUUGGGAUUUGAAAUAAGCCCAUCUUAUGCCUCUUAUGCUCAACCAUAGCACCAAACUUCCUCCUAAAAGGAGGGAUUAUCAUGAUGGAUGAAAGCCAUGUCCUUCUCCUCUGCCAAUGCCUGGAGCUGUUUGCAAAUGGAAUGAGCUGUGUGUUGAAACCUAAUCAUUCUGCAGGCAGCACCCAUAACAAGGCAACCCCUCUUCUGGCAGCUUGUCUAAAAUUCUUUGCGCCCACACAAUACUGCCCGAGGCUCAGGGGGAUGAGAGUCAAGUUUCCACGGAUGGAGUGGAUGAAACCUCACUCAUCUGUAGUGUUUCAUAUUUUUGGAUGUAUUUGAACAUCCAUCAAGUCACUUCAUCUUUGCAGUAAACCUGUUGAGCACGUAGGACAAAUAUUUCCACACCCCAUCUUUCUUUAGAGAAAAUGAAGAAUAUAAAGAAGUGAAGACACCUUGUCCAAGGUCACACAGCUGGUAUGGGUAAAGCCAG
rnacentral:lncRNA from 13 species